rnacentral:rRNA from 1 species
GUCGAGGGGCAGCGGGUGUAGCAAUACAUGCCGGCGACCGGCGCACGGGUGCGUAACACGUAUGCAACCUACCUGUAACUGGAGAAUAGCCCGGAGAAAUCCGGAUUAACACUCCAUAUGAUCACGAAGAGGCAUCUCUUUGUGCUGAAAGCUCCGGCGGUUACAGAUGGGCAUGCGUCCGAUUAGCUAGUUGGCGAGGUAACGGCUCACCAAGGCAACGAUCGGUAGGGGAUCUGAGAGGAUGACCCCCCACACUGGUACUGAGACACGGACCAGACUCCUACGGGAGGCAGCAGUAAGGAAUAUUGGACAAUGGUGGCAACACUGAUCCAGCCAUGCCGCGUGCAGGAUGAAGGCCCUAUGGGUUGUAAACUGCUUUUGUACGGGAAAAACCCCCCGGUCGCGCACCGGGGCUGAUUGUACCGUAAGAAUAAGCAUCGGCUAACUCCGUGCCAGCAGCCGCGGUAAUACGGAGGAUGCAAGCGUUAUCCGGAUUCAUUGGGUUUAAAGGGUGCGUAGGCGGAAAGGUAAGUCAGUGGUGAAAUCUCCCCGCUUAACGGGGAAGCUGCCGUU